CAGUGGCUAAGACUCCGCACUCCCAAUGCAGGCGGCCUGAGUUCAAUCCCUGGUCAGGGAACUAGAUCCCACAUGCAUUCCACGACUAAGAGUUCGAAUGCCGCAAGUAAGAGUCCUCAUGCCACAACUAAA